GGUUAAGCGACUAAGCGUACACGGUGGAUGCCCUGGCAGUCAGAGGCGAUGAAGGACGUGCUAAUCUGCGAUAAGCGUCGGUAAGGUGAUAUGAACCGUUAUAACCGGCGAUUUCCGAAUGGGGAAACCCAGUGUGAUUCGUCACACUAUCAUUAACUGAAUCCAUAGGUUAAUGAGGCGAACCGGGGGAACUGAAACAUCUAAGUACCCCGAGGAAAAGAAAUCAACCGAGAUUCCCCCAGUAGCGGCGAGCGAACGGGGAGCAGCCCAGAGCCUGAAUCAGUGUGUGUGUUAGUGGAAGCGUCUGGAAAGGCGUGCGAUACAGGGUGACAGCCCCGUACACAAAAAUGCACAUACUGUGAGCUCGAUGAGUAGGGCGGGACACGUGGUAUCCUGUCUGAAUAUGGGGGGACCAUCCUCCAAGGCUAAAUACUCCUGACUGACCGAUAGUGAACCAGUACCGUGAGGGAAAGGCGAAAAGAACCCCGGCGAGGGGAGUGAAAAAGAACCUGAAACCGUGUACGUACAAGCAGUGGGAGCACGCUUAGGCGUGUGACUGCGUACCUUUUGUAUAAUGGGUCAGCGACUUAUAUUCUGUAGCAAGGUUAACCGAAUAGGGGAGCCGAAGGGAAACCGAGUCUUAACUGGGCGUUAAGUUGCAGGGUAUAGACCCGAAACCCGGUGAUCUAGCCAUGGGCAGGUUGAAGGUUGGGUAACACUAACUGGAGGACCGAACCGACUAAUGUUGAAAAAUUAGCGGAUGACUUGUGGCUGGGGGUGAAAGGCCAAUCAAACCGGGAGAUAGCUGGUUCUCCCCGAAAGCUAUUUAGGUAGCGCCUCGUGAAUUCAUCUCCGGGGGUAGAGCACUGUUUCGGCAAGGGGGUCAUCCCGACUUACCAACCCGAUGCAAACUGCGAAUACCGGAGAAUGUUAUCACGGGAGACACACGGCGGGUGCUAACGUCCGUCGUGAAGAGGGAAACAACCCAGACCGCCAGCUAAGGUCCCAAAGUCAUGGUUAAGUGGGAAACGAUGUGGGAAGGCCCAGACAGCCAGGAUGUUGGCUUAGAAGCAGCCAUCAUUUAAAGAAAGCGUAAUAGCUCACUGGUCGAGUCGGCCUGCGCGGAAGAUGUAACGGGGCUAAACCAUGCACCGAAGCUGCGGCAGCGACGCUUAUGCGUUGUUGGGUAGGGGAGCGUUCUGUAAGCCUGUGAAGGUGUGCUGUGAGGUAUGCUGGAGGUAUCAGAAGUGCGAAUGCUGACAUAAGUAACGAUAAAGCGGGUGAAAAGCCCGCUCGCCGGAAGACCAAGGGUUCCUGUCCAACGUUAAUCGGGGCAGGGUGAGUCGACCCCUAAGGCGAGGCCGAAAGGCGUAGUCGAUGGGAAACAGGUUAAUAUUCCUGUACUUGGUGUUACUGCGAAGGGGGGACGGAGAAGGCUAUGUUGGCCGGGCGACGGUUGUCCCGGUUUAAGCGUGUAGGCUGGUUUUCCAGGCAAAUCCGGAAAAUCAAGGCCGAGGCGUGAUGACGAGGCACUACGGUGCUGAAGCAACAAAUGCCCUGCUUCCAGGAAAAGCCUCUAAGCAUCAGGUAACAUCAAAUCGUACCCCAAACCGACACAGGUGGUCAGGUAGAGAAUACCAAGGCGCUUGAGAGAACUCGGGUGAAGGAACUAGGCAAAAUGGUGCCGUAACUUCGGGAGAAGGCACGCUGAUACGUAGGUGAAGCGACUUGCUCGUGGAGCUGAAAUCAGUCGAAGAUACCAGCUGGCUGCAACUGUUUAUUAAAAACACAGCACUGUGCAAACACGAAAGUGGACGUAUACGGUGUGACGCCUGCCCGGUGCCGGAAGGUUAAUUGAUGGGGUUAGCGCAAGCGAAGCUCUUGAUCGAAGCCCCGGUAAACGGCGGCCGUAACUAUAACGGUCCUAAGGUAGCGAAAUUCCUUGUCGGGUAAGUUCCGACCUG
rnacentral:rRNA from 1 species